rnacentral:rRNA from 1 species
UUGGAGGGCAAGUCUGGUGCCAGCAGCCGCGGUAAUUCCAGCUCCAAUAGCGUAUAUUAAAGUUGCUGCAGUUAAAAAGCUCGUAGUUGAAUUUCGGGACCGAUAUAUCGGUCGUGCCUCGGUACGUACUGGUAUUUUCGGUUUCUCCCUUCUGACGAACCUUGAUGUCAUUAAUUUGGUGUCUUGGGGAAUCAGGACUGUUACUUUGAAAAAAUUAGAGUGUUUAAAGCAGGCUCACGCUUGAAUACAUUUGCAUGGAAUAAUGAAAUAGGACGUUCGAUCCUAUUUUGUUGGUUUCUAGGAUUGACGUAAUGAUUAAUAGGGAUAGUUGGGGGCAUUAGUAUUCAAUUGUCAGAGGUGAAAUUCUUGGAUUUAUCGAAGACUAACUACUGCGAAAGCAUGUGCCAAGGAUGUUUUCGUUAAUCAAGAACGAAAGUUAGGGGAUCGAAGACGAUCAGAUACCGUCGUAGUCUUAACCAUAAACUAUGCCGACUAGGGAUCGGAUGAUGUUAAUUUUUUAAUGACUCAUUCGGCGCCUUACGGGAAACCAAAGUGUUUGGGUUC